UAGGGAAUAUUGGACAAUGGGCGCAAGCCUGAUCCAGCCAUGCCGCGUGAGUGAAGAAGGCCCUCGGGUUGUAAAGCUCUUUUGUCCGGAAAGAAAAGCAUUCGGUGAAUACCCGGAUGUCCUGACGGUACCGGAAGAAUAAGCACCGGCUAACUUCGUGCCAGCAGCCGCGGUAAUACGAAGGGUGCAAGCGUUACUCGGAAUUACCGGGCGUAAAGCGUGCGUAGGUGGUUCGUUAAGUCUGAUGUGAAAGCCCUGGGCUCAACCUGGGAAUGGCAUUGGAUACUGGCCGGGCUGGAGUGCGGUAGAGGGUAGUGGAAUUCCCGGUGUAGCAGUGAAAUGCGUAGAGAUCGGGAGGAACAUCUGUGGCGAAGGCGACUGCCUGGACCAGCACUGACACUGAGGCACGAAAGCGUGGGGAGCAAACAGGAUUAGAUACCCUGGUAGUCCACGCCCUAAACGAUGCGAACUGGAUGUUGGGUUCAACUUGGAACUCAGUAUCGAAGCUAACGCGUUAAGUUCGCCGCCUGGGGAGUACGGCCGCAAGGCUG
rnacentral:rRNA from 1 species